rnacentral:lncRNA from 1 species
GGCCGAGACCAGAGAGCGCCGACCAGGAAGGCGCUCGACUAGAAGGCGCCGACCAGAGUGCGCGCCAAGAGGUGCCCAACCAAAAUAAGCUGCUCGGUUAGAAAGUGCCGACCAAAGACAGCGCCGAGGCGCUCUGCUAGAAGGUGCUCGCCUAAAGGGCGCCGACCAGGAGUACUCAAAGCAGCCCCGCCACAGGGCGCCCCAUUGGGCGAUCAGCUCGGCUCGGC